rnacentral:rRNA from 1 species
AAUGGAGGAAACUCUGAUGCAGCGACGCCGCGUGUAGGAAGACGGUCCUAUGGAUUGUAAACUACUGUCUUCAGGGACGAUAAUGACGGUACCUGAGGAGGAAGCCACGGCUAACUACGUGCCAGCAGCCGCGGUAAUACGUAGGUGGCAAGCGUUGUCCGGAAUUACUGGGUGUAAAGGGAGCGUAGGCGGGAAAGCAAGUUGAAUGUUUAAUCUGUGGGCUCAACUCACAGUCGCGUUCAAAACUGCUUUUCUUGAGUGAAGUAGAGGCAGGCGGAAUUCCUAGUGUAGCGGUGAAAUGCGUAGAUAUUAGGAGGAACACCAGUGGCGAAGGCGGCCUGCUGGGCUUUUACUGACGCUGAGGCUCGAAAGUGUGGGGAGCAAA